GUGGUCUCUCUUCCCUUUUCCCAGUGACCACACAUCCAUGUCAGGCUUGUGCCGAUGUCCAGAGCAGGGUGGUGAAGGUUUGGGGACAUCACUGUCAUUGUGUGUGACCCUCUGAACUGGGCAGGACUCAUCCAGGUCCUCCACAGCACUGGGAGGGCCUUAGCCCAAGGGGAGGGGGACAGGCCUUGGGGACAGUCCCGUGCCCCGCAGAGCCCCUUCCCUGCUGGCAGGGCGGUUUGUACGCUGGCAGGGGGAGCAGCAGCUAAACUAGUAAAUAAGCAAAUGCCCGUCUCCUCCCUGCGUGGCUUCCCCUGUAUUUAUUCCCAUGUUUCUCCUGCUGUCCCCCUGACAGCCGGGAUGGAGCUGUCAUGCCUCGGUGGCCACCGGAGCCAGCGCCCGAUCCCGCGCUCACGGAGGGGCUGCACACGGAACCCCCGCCCAGCAAAACGGGGAGGAAAAUCAAAUCCAAUUACGUGCCAUUGAUUUCUUUCCAAAUUUGCCUCUAAUACACUUUUUGACUACUCCUUGAUUUUUUUUUUAAAUUUUUUUUUCCCCGUUUUCCCUUUCUCCUCUCCCUCCCCUGCCCACUCACACGGCAGCAGCCUCCUCCCGGGAAGCAAGUGGCUGCAGCCCCUGCACUGGACACGCCGAGCCCUGGAGCAGUUUAGGAGAUCAUAGCCCAGGUUUUUUUGCUCUUAAUAGGUGGUAGGGACGAUCCGUGAGCUGAACCUCUUCCUAAGGGACAGUGAAGCCGUGGAACAGGGUGAUGGUGAAGUGGGCUCUGUGUGCUCACCAGGGGAAGGAGGAUGGACUCUCACUCCAAGGAAGUCAAUUAGAAGUCAUCCUGGAAAUCAGCCUCUCCUUCAGUCGCCUUUGUUCCAAAUCCAGCCAAACCAAAAGGCUGCCUUGUUCCAGUGCCACCGAGGCAAUUUCUUUUGCUGUAAGGACCUGGCAGUGGCAAUGACAGUGAAAGCAAUAAAACCCUCCCGUGGCAGAUGUCUGUAUUCGGGUGCCAUGUCCUGGAUGCUGUGCUGGAGAGGAGAGCUGCUGCUCCUCCAGGGAUGGAGAAAAACUUCCCAACACAAAGAGCCUUUCAGAGAAGGAGUUGACUGAGGAGGGUGCUGGACUCCCACACCAAAAGUUUCAAGGCCAUGAAGGCUUUGAGGAUCACGGACAACGUAAAGCCAAGGUUCAGUACCAUCCUCUCCUCUCGCUGUGCUGGGGGGUCAGAGCAAGAGGUGUUGGCUGAACCUCAGCACGGACAAGAGCACGUUGUAUCCCCACCUCCCAGCCCAGGAGUUGGUGUUUGCAUCAACCAGCUCUGCACAGCAUUUCAGUGAGCUGACCAAACUUAAAGGGAAGUACCGUGGGUGAAAAAAUUAGGGGAGAAAAAGCAGAAAAUGCUGCCAUGUGGCCCAUUUUGGGGGGAUAUUUUGCUUUGUGGCUUCAGAUCAUCCUCCAUUGGUGCCUCCAUCCCUUGUGCCCACACCUCAGGCUGGAGGAAUGGCUCCAGCACCACCAUCCCACUGUGCCCUGCCCGGCCCUAAUUGGCCUGUUUGUUUGGCAAUAAGUGAUUCCUGCCUGUCUCGGGGUGGAUUGUUUUUCACACCAUUAAAUGAAGUUCUGCCGUAUUGAUCCCUGUUUUUCCAAUUUGAAGCCUGAAAAGUGAUGAAGACAUUUUCUUGUUUUCUCAUGUACUUUUCCCCUCAGUUCAUUUAGGUGACCUGUCUUUAGUUCCUUGCUCUGCUCGCUGUAAUUGCUUCUUCAGAGUAAUGUUGCACCGUGAGCUCGGUGCCGCAGCCGGGGCGGGUUUUUAUGGAAGGAUGAAGGAAGGCGAGGCUGGAGUCAUCAAGCAAUGCUAACUGUGCAAGGUUUGUCACAAAUGACAUCUCAAUAGCAGCCUCUCUUGCUGGAACCUCACUAAAACAGCACAGAGGGUGAGGGCAGGACCUCGGGACAGUUUUGUCUCUUUGGGAUGUUAAUAUUUUGCACAAGGGAUGGAAAUGUUG